rnacentral:rRNA from 1 species
GACGAACGCUGGCGGCGUGCUUAACACAUGCAAGUCGAACGGAAAGGCCCUGCUUUCGUGGGGUGCUCGAGUGGCGAACGGGUGAGUAACACGUGAGUAACCUGCCCUUGACUUUGGGAUAACUUCAGGAAACUGGGGCUAAUACCGGAUAGGAGCUCCUGCUGCAUGGUGGGGGUUGGAAAGUUUGGGCGGUUGGGGAUGGACUCGCGGCUUAUCAGCUUGUUGGUGGGGUAGUGGCUUACCAAGGCUUUGACGGGUAGCCGGCCUGGGAGGGUGACCGGCCACAUUGGGACUGAGAUACGGCCCAGACUCCUACGGUAGGCAGCAGUGGGAAGUAUUGCACAGUGGGCGGAAGCGUGAUGCGGCAGCGCCCCGUGCGGGAUGACGGCCUUCGGGUUGUGAACCGCUUUCGCCUGUGACGAAGCGUGAGUGACGGUAAUGGGUGAAGAAGCACCGGCUAACUACGUG